CAGACGACCCCGAAUAUUUUUGCAUUAGGUGAAGGGUCAGGGAAGUACUCAGAUCCAGACGCAUUGGUUGCCGCUUAAAUUAGGUUUAAAGGUUAAUAAUAAUUAUGAAUUUGUGGCUGUGGUAACUAGUGAAGAUCAGACUCAGAGACUUAUUGCAAAGAAAGAACUAAACCCCGUGGGCGUGGCGUAGCGUUUAGCUGGAGCAAGGAGUCUGUGUAGCCAGGCAACAUCUGGAUGCUUGAGUGAGGCUGCUUCACUGCAUCACGUGGUUGAAGCAUCACGCAGCUGGCUGUAUCGCAGCGCGUUUCCUCUAUGAAGCAUCAUCGCGACUGCUGCGCAAUUUGACUGCAAGCCUUUGCUACCGAUUCCAUCUAGACAGCUCUCCAAACGCACAGGUUAUGCCACUCCACAGGCUUCCUGAAACCCCUACUGUGAAAGAGAAGGGCUGAUCCCCAAGCUCUAGCUACUCUCCUCCCACCUCCAUCCACCCCCCUGUCCCUCCCUAACCACACAUAGCCCCCCACUCCGCCGGACCCCGGACCCCAUGGCUGCAGGAGGCCAUGCCCCUGAGAAGGAUGUGUUGAUCAACCUGCAUCAGGAGGAGGAGGAUGAGGAAGGUUCCACAGAGGAGCAGGAAGAGGAGGACUGGGAGAAGGCAUUAUCAGUGGAGAGGUUCGGGGACAUCAUCACUGAGUCCGUGUUCAGCAGCGGAGAAAAAAUGGGCCGCAACUACAACGAAAAGGAUUUCGAGUAUCAUCGGCACACCUUUCACCACACCCACCACCCCCUGUCCACCCACCUGCCACCGCCCCAGCGCCUACGCAAGCGGGUGCUCAGCACAGACAGCGACCGCCGGCGCAAGAAGAAACGAAAGAAAAAAAAGACCUCCAUGCCGCCCUCGGAGGUCACGCCCACCAUCCAUGAGGUAGAUGAGGAGGAGGAGGCGGAGUCUGAGACAGAGGAGCGGGACCAAGUGGCCACGCCCACUGAGCAGCCUGACAACCAACCACAGUUUAGCUUGGGGAGUGAGGAGGACUUGGAACCGGCUCUCCCUUUCACUUCCUUCCACAUGGAGAGCGAACAACAACAUAUGCCGCCAGAGAAAGCCACACUGGCCACGGCAGAGGAGGUGUUGGUGGAGGAGGAAGAGGAGGAUGAGCAGCAACAGGAGGUUCGGGAGCAACCGGAGGAUGAGGAAGGUGAUGAAGAGUCCAACAACAGGUGCCCCCCCUCUGUGGACCCCCCUAGCGUGACCCCCUGUGGCUGGUUCAGAAGGAAUCCCCUCCACCCUGCACCGAGGACCAGUUACGACCUGCGGGAGCGCAUCUGCAUCGGCAGUAUGACGACCAUGGAAACAGCUGUGUACCAGAAGGUGCCCACUGACGACGCUGAGGCUGAGAUGCUGGCUAGCGCUGAUCUGGACGACAUGAAAAGUCACCGAUUCGAGGACAACCCUGGAGUGAGGCGUCACCUGGUGAAGAAGUCAUCUCGAUGCCAGCUCCUCCAGACCACCAACAGCUCUUCGCAACUGUCCAGCGUGAAGAAGAAGAGGACGGCUGACAAGAAGACCCAUGAGGUGUUUGUGGAACUCAAUGAGCUGAUAGUGGAUAAGAACCAGGAAAUGCGCUGGAAGGAGACGGCCCGUUGGAUCAAGUUUGAGGAGGACGUGGAGGAGGAGACAGACCGCUGGGGAAAACCCCACGUGGCUUCGCUUUCCUUCCGUAGCCUGCUGGAGCUCCGCAGGACCAUCACACAUGGUGCCGUCCUUUUGGACCUGGAGCAGACCACCUUGCCUGGUAUUGCUCACCUGGUGGUGGAGACCAUGAUCAUCUCAGACCAGAUCAGAGCGGAGGACCGUGCCAACGUGCUCCGCGCCCUGCUGCUCAAACACCACCACCCCAACGACGAAAAGGAGGGCCUCUUCCAUCGCAACCACUCUAGUAACAGCCUUCAAGGCAGCUUCUACCACAACCACGUUCCCAACACUGCGCUGCCCCUUGUGGCCGAUGACCAUGCAGUAGUCCACCACCACCACCUUGACAACAAAGCACCAGACCAUGACAAAGAGGUGUUUGUGAGCUUGUUUAUGAGUGGCGUGGGCAAAGUGUUGCUUUUUUGUUUACAUUGUUUCCAAAGAUCCUCAACUGUGUGUCAUUCCUCAGGGUGUGUGGAGUUCUUGGAGCAGCCGGCCAUGGCCUUCAUCAGGCUGAGUGAGGCAGUGCUGCUGGAGUCGGUCCUGGAGGUGCCGGUGCCGGUCCGUUUCCUCUUUGCCCUGCUCGGCCCCGCUCAGUCCAACAUGGACUAUCACGAGAUCGGACGCUCCUUCUCCACCCUGAUGUCUGACAAGAACUUCCACGAGGUGGCUUACUUCGCGGACGACCGGCAGGACCUGCUGAACGGCAUCAAUGAGUUCCUGGACUGCAGCAUCGUUAUCCCCCCGUCGGACGUGGAGGGCAAGGACCUGCUAAAGACGGUAGCCUCCUUCCAGAAGCAGAUGCUGCGCAAGAGGAAGGAGAGAGAGAACAUUAAGAAGGGCCUGACCCAUGCCACCCCCGGGACAGACCAGGAGACCAAAGAGGAGGACCAGGAGGUGGACCCCAUGAAGCGGUCGGGCAUCCCCUUCGGAGGCCUCAUCCAUGACAUCAGGCGACGCUACCCACGCUACGCCAGUGACAUCAAGGACGCCUUGGACUCACAGUGCAUUGCAGCCGUCAUCUUCAUCUACUUCGCAGCCCUCUCGCCCACCAUCACCUUCGGAGGACUGCUGGGAGAGAAAACAGAGGGCAUGAUGGGAGUGUCUGAGCUUAUCAUCUCCACGGCGACCCUGGGGGUGCUGUUCUCGCUGUUGGCCGGACAGCCCCUGCUCAUCAUCGGAUUCUCAGGACCGCUGCUGGUGUUUGAGGAGGCCUUCUACAAGUUCUGCCAGGCCCAGGGCUUUGAGUACCUGACUGGCCGGGUGUGGAUCGGCUUCUGGCUCGUCUUCAUAGUGCUGUUGAUAGUAGCGGCUGAGGGCAGCUUCUUGGUCAAAUACAUCUCACCCUUCACCCAGGAGAUCUUCGCCUUCCUCAUCUCGCUCAUCUUCAUCUAUGAGACCUUCUCGAAGCUCAUCAAGGUAUUCCAGGAGCAUCCUUUGAUGAGAAGCUACCCGCCUGCUCUCAGCCUGCCCGGUAUGGACUUCAUCAACCCCACAGACCCCGGGGGCCCGGUCCUAAACCAACCCAACACAGCCUUGCUGUCUCUCGUCCUUAUGCUUGGCACCUUCUUUGUGGCCUUCUUCCUCAGGAAAUUGCGCAAUAGUCGCUUCCUGGGCGGGAAGGCCAGAAGAAUCAUCGGAGACUUUGGCAUCCCCAUCUCCAUCCUCUUCUCUGUACUGUUGAGUUACUCCAUCCCCGACACUUACACCCAGAAGCUAAAUGUACCAUCUGGUUUCUCGGUCACGUCUCCUGACAAGCGGGGCUGGUUGAUCAGUCCAUUCGGUGACAAGAAGCCCUUUCCCUUGUGGAUGAUGGGGGCUUCGGUGGUGCCCGCCCUCCUUGUCUUCAUCCUCAUCUUCAUGGAGACACAGAUCACCUCACUAAUCGUCAGCAAGAAGGAGCGUCGCCUGGUCAAGGGAUCGGGCUUCCACCUGGACCUGCUGCUCAUUGUCACACUGGGCGCCAUGUGCCCUCUGUUAGGCCUGCCCUGGCUCACAGCCGCCACUGUGCGCUCUGUCACGCAUGUCAACGCCCUUACUGUCAUGAGCAAGGCCACGGCACCUGGCGAGAAGCCUAUGAUCCAGGAGGUGAAGGAGCAGCGGGUGACUGGCCUGGUAGUUGCCGUGCUCGUGGGUAUGUCUAUCGUGAUGACGGACGUGCUCCGUAACAUCCCAUUGGCCGUGCUGUUCGGGAUCUUCCUCUACAUGGGCGUCACGUCGAUCACCGGCAUCCAGCUCUACGAGCGCAUCACACUCAUGUUCACGCCCGCCAAGCACCACCCCGACCACAUAUACGUGACCAAGGUGAAGACAUGGCGUAUGAAUAUGUUCACCAUCAUCCAGCUGGCCUGCAUCGUGCUACUGUGGGUGGUCAAGUCGACCGUGGCCUCACUCGCCUUCCCCUUCAUCCUCAUCCUGACCGUGCCGCUCCGCCGCCUCAUCCUCUCCCGGAUCUUUGAGGAGCGUGAGCUUCAGGCGGUAGGUGGACAUUCCUGGAAUUCUCUGAAUUCAGGCACAAUCAUCUGGUCCAGGCAACAUUGGGUCACACGUUACAAAUAA
ensembl:lncRNA anion exchange protein 3-like